GGCUUGUGGUGUUAAGGCCGGCAAGUUACUUGUUUCUGGAGGAAAUAUGAGAGCAGCUACUUAGCGGUAACCGCUCUAAAAUAAAGGACUUCAGCCCCAUUUCACGGACACAGCUCCAGCCGAACGCAGACAUCGGAUUACGCGGGCUGAUUCAUGAUACACGUUGGGUUUUUUUUUUGUGUGUGCUGUAAAUAUCUAUGGAGAACAGAUGUUCACAUCACAUUAACCUCCAAGAUUGUUUGUUGAAUGUUGGAAAGCGG